rnacentral:piRNA from 1 species
UAUUAGUCUUAUUUUCAUCACCGUGGGCGU